rnacentral:lncRNA from 1 species
ACCAAUCACUUCCUCUAACACUUUUCGACUUAUUCUGGCUCCGGUUUCCACCCGUAGAACGCCUCUACUUCUACCAAACCUCUUCCACCGAUUCCGUACUUUCCCAACUCAAAACCUCCCUCUCUUUAGCUCUCCAACACUUCCCACCUCUAGCCGGAAACCUCAUCUGGCCCCAAGACUCCCUCAAACCCCUUCUUAGCUACGUUCAAGGCGACGCGGUCUCAGUCACCGUAGCUGAGUCCGAUGCUGAUUUCGACCACCUUAUAAACAGUGUAUUUCUUGCAGCCAAAGAUUUUAGUCAUCUUGUUCCUCAGGUGGAUGUCACUGAUGAGAGAGCCGCCGCGAUGGCAUUGCAAAUCACUGUCUUUCCCAACCGAGGCUUCUCUAUCGGAACGGCCAUGCACCACGCAGUCCUUGACGGAAAAACUUCGACUUCGUUUGUCAAAGCAUGGGCUUAUAUAUGCAAGCAUGAAGAAUUAAAAAUACGUGUUUCAUUUUCAGAAUGAAUUCAUUUUCAUUCACGUUUUUAGCAUAAUUAAUUUUUAUAUUAUGGUCGUCAAAAUACGUGUUUCAUCUUCUCGGUAGACUCCAGGUCCAGGUUGGACCCUCCAAUACCCGCAACGUAUUUUGGAAACUGCAUAGUGGGUCGUGUAGCAGUUGCAGAAACCAAGGGGCUGUUGAGUGAAGAUGGACUGGUUGUAGCUGUAAGUGCAAUUACAGAAGCUCUAAGAAGCUUGGAGAAAGGGGUUUUGGAUGGGGCAGAAGAUUGGGUUUCGAACUUUCUUGAUUUUUCGCUGUAUGAUAGGAUAUAUGCGAUUGCAGGGUCACAUAGGUUUGAGGUUUAUGAUACUGAUUUUGGAUGGGGAAGGCCAAAGAGGGUUGAGGUCAUCUCCAUUGAUAAGACGAGUGCCAUUUCUCUUUCGGAUAGUAAGAAUGGUGGUGGAGGUGUUGAGGUUGGCUUGGUUUUGAAGAAACACUAUAUGGAGGCCUUUGAUGCUCUGUUUUCUAGCCUAGUGCAUUAGUCUGGACCAAGAAAAACAUGGAUUUCGCAAUUCUCAGUCACAGAUGUCCUUGGUUUUUUGUGCUUUCUUUUAUCAUUAGUCAUUUGGAUCUCUAUUACUUCCAUUUUCGUUAAGACAUGUGACCUAGAGGCAUGGCUACUCAUUCUCAUUAUGUUGUUUAAUAAUAUGUUUUAUUUAUUUAUUUGUUAUGUUGCAUGUACUUUUUUGCUCGAUAUUUACUGAUAUGUCAAUCGACACUAAACAUUUCCAUUGAAAUUUUUGUAGAUAGGAGCAACAAAAACUACGCAAGUAUGCAAAACCAAAAUUAGGAACCUUAAGAACUUUAUGUAGUAUGCAAGUGUGCCAUAGCUGAUCCAUCCAUUCAUGCAAUAUGCCUGGUUUGAUUUAUGUAUAUUUGCGUCUGGAUUUAAACAUAUAGAGACAUUUGCAAUACUCUUAUCCGAAACGUUGUUGCAUCGUAAAUUCAUGCAUGAUGCACCUUAAUUAUGAAUUAUAGAUAUCAAUACGUACAAAUUAUGCACAACAUUAUUUGGAGAUCAUAAUCAAUCAUACACAGACCAAGGGUGAAAGUCUACCUUUAACAUUUUUUGAUAUGCUCUGGCUCAUCAUGUAUUCAUGUUUAUACUAGUAAAACGCCUCUACUUCUACCAAACGUCUUCCGCCAUUCGGGUAUAUCCCAAACUCAAAACCUCCCUCUGUCUAAUCUUCAAUCACCGCUUCCUACCUCUCACCGGAAACCUCACCAGGCCGCAAGGUUUCCUCAAACCCGUUCUCAGUUACGUACCGAAUUAAUGACGUACGUACGUAUUUUUAAACUAUAUAUUUACCUUACAGUAGAAAGGAAUGGAUCAAUACCACCGCUUCAACUUGAGAUAGCUAGCUACGUAUGUAUAUACGUCAACACUAGCUCCCUGCUUCCUUCCCAGAUCACGUACGUACACGACACUGUAGCCACAUAUAACAUGCAUAUCCCGAGUUCCCGACUCCAAUAAGAGCACAUAGUUAUCUAAACGACUAACUAGCCUACCUUCAUACCGAAAAUAGCACGCCGUACAUUUUUUCUGGUUCAUACUCCAGCAGAAAACUAGGAUAACACACAUCCACACACACACACCUCUUAUCCUCUUAGGAUCAGCCAUAGUGGCACACACAUCUAUAUUUCUCUAUAAAAGACGCGAUGCAAAUUUGAUCGAAUGAUUAUUAGCUUAGAAGCCUUGAACACUUACGUACCCAGCGUCUUCUUGCCUUUAUCUAAUGCCGCCGCAAACAAACACAUCGGUUAAGGUAGUCGAGGUUUGCAGGGUCACACCGCAACCAGGCUCCUUGGACUCCAAGGCCGUCACACCAAAUCUUUCCCUUCCUUUAACCUACUUUGACCUCUUUUGGCUGAGGUUUCCUCCUGUUGAGCGGCUUUACUUCUAUGAAUCGACAUCUUCUCCCUCUGAUUCCGUACUUGAAAAUCUCAAAACCUCCCUCUCUCUAGUUCUCCAACACUUCCUACCUCUUGCCGGAAACCUAACUUGGCCCCAAGACUCCGACACCCCCGUCCUCACCUACGUCGAAGGCGACGCCGUGUCACUCACAAUAGCCGAGUCCGAUGCUGAUAACUUUGACAACCUUUCAAGCUACGGUGACUUUGUUGAAGCCAGAGAUUAUCAUCCUCUAGUUCCAAAAUUGGAUGUCACUCACUCACGAGCUGCAGCUAUCGCAUUGCAAGUAACCCUAUUUCCGAGUCGCGGCUUUGUCAUCGGAACAACCAUGCACCAUGCAAUCCUUGACGGCAAAACCUCAACCUCGUUUGUCAAAUCAUGGGCUCAUGCAUGCAAGCAUAUCAUACUUAACAAUGGCGUUUCGACUGACUCGGACUUUUCAUUACCGGAUCAGCUCAAGCCGUUUUAUGACAGAACGGUGGUUCAUGACCCGACUGGACUCGGACUCGGGUCUCUCUACGCAAAUGAGUGGCGAAAAAUGGACGGGCCAGACAACAAAAGCGUAAUGAUAUGGGAUAUGAAAGCUCCACCACCAGAAUCAGUUCGAAGAAUCUAUGAAUUUACGCGCCCAAAAAUACAAACCCUAAGGCAAAUAGUACUGGUUUCGCAUCCAAUACUUCAUUUGUCGACAUUUACUCUAGUAUGUGCCUAUAUGUGGGUUUGUUUAGUCAAGGCACAAGGAGUAGACGCUGAAAAACUGACGAUUCAGGCCUUUAGCGUGGACUGUAGGGCUCGUUUGGAUCCUCCUAUACCAGCAAACUAUUUCGGAAACUGCGUAACAGGUGCGGCGGGGUUCGUGAAAGCGAAGGAGUUGCUGGGUGAAGAUGGGUUGGUUGUGGCGGUGAGGGCAAUUAGUGAAGCUAUACAGGGUUUGGAGAAAGGGGUUUUGAAUGGAGCUGAGGUUUGGGUUUCGAAAAUGAAGGACUUUGUGCAGGCAGAGGGAGUGUACUCUACCGCUGGCUCGCAUAGGUUUCAGAUUUAUGAGACGGAUUUCGGAUGGGGAAGGCCGAAGAAGGUUGAGGUGGUUUCGAUAGAUAGAACUGGAGCGAUUUCGCUUUCGGAAUCGAAGAACGGCGGUGGAGGUGUUGAGGUUGGGGUGGUUUUGAGAAAACAUGUCAUGGAAGCUUUUGCUUCUCUGUUUGCUAAAGGUUUUGGAGACCAUUAAUGGAAGUGUGUAACUACGUUUUCGAUUAUUAUGCUUUCUUUUUGUUGGGUACCUAAUAAGUUUUGUAGACAGACAGAAUUGAUUAAUUAAAGAUUAAUGAACGACAAGACAAUUUCAAAUUGAGUCUUUGUUUUGUUUUUUGCUAACUUCAUAAUGUUCCUAAUAGUUUCGUUAUAUUUCCUAAGAUUUUCUACGUAUUCAAUCCAUGGAGUUUAAGUAGUGGGUUGUCUUUAUCAUUAGGUGGUAGAAGGCAUAUUAAUCAAUCACAAAUACUUUUAUCUGAAAUCAUUCUAAUUCUCAUUCUCAUACUGUUAUCUGAAAUCAUUCUAAACACAUGAAUUUGAUUCCCCGAGCUAUUAUUUCAUUUCAUUGCAGGUGCCUUUAUUGUUCGAAUUUUAUUUAAUUAUGGGCACUUGCUUCCACUAAUUCAACCUCUAUGUAUUGGAAAUUCUAUCAUACUGGACGAUAUGUUAUGUGACAUGCUUUGAAAGAAAAAGUUUAUAAAACAAAACACCAAACUAUCCCGUGCAAAAACAUGUGCCAUUAUUUGUAUCAGUGUAUGUAGGUCAUACCGUCUGACAAUCCCCUCUAUUUAUAGGAUGUGGUUUUGAUUUGGCAGGCCAAACUAGUCUAAGAUAUGGAACUAGGCCCAAAACGAAGUGAACCUGAGCCCACUUUUGACCUUGUCAAAAGAACAUUUGUCUGAAAACCGUGAAGAAAACCUGAAAAUUGAGUCUGAGAGAAAAUUCAAUGCGGGCGCCUUCUUCGCUUUCAGCUUUAUGUUAUUUUCUCAUAAAUUCCCCCACGAUUUAGUUUAUUUACAGAUAUGUAUCCGGCCGUACGUAUCAGACGUGCAUCAUGUCGUUUUCCGUCAUUUCCAGCCAUAUAUAUACGAUAAUAUAUAUAUUCUUAACCAGAAAGCUAUGUUGCACGAACACAAGCACAAACACAGCGACACGAUGACACGGUAAAAUUCAAAAAUUGAGUUUCCAACACGGCAAAUAGAAUAAUAUAUUUAUGUAUUUUUAAUAUAUACAAAAAUAUUUAAGUUCAUUACAUUCAAAUUUUUUCUUUAUUUUUUGUCUAAAUUCAAUCUAUUGCCAUAAACAUAUUAAAAUAACAUAAAAAAAAAUCAAAUGCAAGUCAUUAAAGACAAUCAAAUGGGCAGAUAUAGGCAGCAACUUAGUAACACGACAUCCCUUUAACACCUAAUAGACAAGAUAAAUUUCAAUCAUUCCAUAAUCCAUUUGAACUUAAAAAAAGAAAAAAGAAACAUAUAUAUAUAUAUAUUAAUAAUUGAUGACGUGACGUGUCGAAGGCUAAGGUAAUGUGUCGGUCAACGUGUCGGAAAAGUCAACAUUUUUUGACACAUCACAUGACGUGUUAGACACUCCGACACUCCAAGGGUGCAAAGUGUCCCGUGCAACAUAACCGGAAAGGCACCGGCUACGCAUUAGUAUAUCUGGAAUCGACCGUACACGCGUGAAACGGCCCGAUACGUCUAAAAACGUAUCCGUAAAUAAACAGAUACGUGGGGCAAUAAUAACUUUCGUCCCUAGUGUUUUUUUCUUUUUUUUGUUUUGUUUCGUCCUAGUGUUUAGUGCUUAGCAGAAUUGCAGAAAUAAGAAAAGCUCUCAAAAAAAAGAAAGAGAAAAGAAAAAAAGAAAAGCGCGCAAACGACUAGCUGAGUUCGAUCUUUCACAAGUUUGGGAAGCCGCCAUGGCAGCGGAGAAGGCUGAAGACGCGGCGAUUCCGGCGGCAGCUCCGCCUGGCCGUUACAUCAACAAGUGGGCACAAGGCCUUCGCCGUCACCGUCAACGAGAAAGGUCUCAGACUCUCAGGUACCCACCUUCAAACUAAGCCCUGUGAGAAAUUUGGUUGCUUUGUGAUUUUGGUGAAUUGGGUUUUGAAUUAGGUUUUGGUUUUGGUUUGUGAAGACGAUUGGAGAAUGAUUCAGGAUUCUAACUCUUUAGUGCAUGCUUAAUUUUCAUCUAAGUUCUAAUGUGGAUAAUUAGUAAUCUAAUGGGGGAACUUUUAUAUGAGGAUCAGAGUUGCUUUCAGUACAUAUCAUAGCAAAUGUUGCUUCACUACUUUUCAAAUGUGCAUCAAUGUUCUAUGCCAACGUUAUCUCUAUAAAAAUCUGCACUAAGAAGUGGAUUCUGCACUCUAUGUGACGGCUUUUAUCAUGUCGUGAAUUCUGCUGUCUCUCUUACUUUCUUGUCUUGCUGAUACACUCCAUGUACAAGAUUUUCUUUUUAUGAACUUUUGUUGACUUACUGUAAAGAAUAGAAAUUAUAGCUACUAAGUGAUAUAAAGUUGUCAAUGAAGGUCCUUAUUUGGUUUCUGAUGAGGGAAAAUCUAAGUGUUCAUGUGUGAGUCGUGAAGACGUUUCAAAAAUGAUAGUAAGAGGUGAUCUUUCAUGUGUUACAUGGCCUAUGUCUCACUCUUGUGUUACUAGCCCUCCUCUCUCUCCAUGUUAAAUUUUCAAAUAUUUGUAUUUUGACUGCAAUGUUUACCUGGUCAUUUGAUUGCAGGAUCUUGAAAUGGAGGUAAAACAGGAGCCCUUUCAUAGAAGAACAGAUUUGAUGAUAAACAAGAAAAAACAGGUAAACGUUUGUCUCUUUUGCUAUAUUCUGAUUUCUGAAUAAAGUUUGCUGUGUAAAGCAUAGACCAGGCGUUGCAUACGUUUUUCAAUUCUAUUUUUAAUUAGUAUAAUUCUUUUGCCUGUUUCUACCUGAUCAGUAUUCCAUGAUUUUCAUCUAUAUUAUGUUACUGAUUUAGCUUGAGACAUUAUGUUUGACAUCCUUGGAAUCUGGUUCUUUUUACCCUUUACGUGUCUAUAGUUUUGUUUGUCAUAUCUACUUUCUGAAUUUUAAUCGUACUAUUGCACUCGUGUAAUACAUAUAUGCCAUGCAGACGAUGAAAACUUUCCAUAUGGAAGGGUGUGUGGUGUGUCUUUGUUAACUUCUGCUGCAAUCCUGAGCCUUUGAAGGGAAAGCUGGAGAUUUUGAAUGCAGGGGAGUUCAGCAUUUGCAGCAACAACUCGCGAGAUGACAGCUUUGGAGUCGGUCAUCACUUCCAAACAGGUAAUCUUCAAAUUGAAGUGUUCAUUUCACCUUACCUUUUGAGUUACAAUUUACAUGGGCUAAUAAUAACAUUCUACUACACACGAUGUCAUUUUAAAUUCACCUUAGUAUGGUUAAACAACCUAUCUAAUUAGUUUUGAAAUAAAUCGUAGUUCAUUGUCUGUAAAUGGGAACACUUUCAUGAUCCCUCCCCAUCCAGGAAAGGUUAUAUAUUAGAGACAAUAUUCCUCCAGGUCAUCCAAAUUUGUGUCCUUUGGCUCAAAGAUAUGGUUUACUUAACUCAAAAUGCAUAAACACUCCAUUCCAUAGGUUUUGGACAAAAAUUAUUGUUCUGAUUAUUAUAGGGGAUAUUGAACUGUUCAAUCUGCUAUAAAGGAAGAUAAACUGUUCAAAACUACCUAAGAAGAAACAGAGGAGAACAAUGAUAACAUAGUUUCCUUACAAGUGACACUAUAUAUAUACUGUAUGGAUAGGUAAAAGUCAUCAGUUUAUUCUUCAUGGCAUUAUGAAAAGUGAUUGAUAUAAUUGUCUAAAAGAAAAGGAGUAACCACUUUAAUAGAUAAUAUGCCCACUCAUGUCAUGCAGCAUUUAUUCUAUGAUUUUUAUCUGCUUACAAAUGUUUAUUCUAUCUUUAAAUCAUGAUGUAUUGUCCCCAUACACUUUCUUAUGCAAAAAAGGUAUAAUGGUUGAUGAUUGCCAUAUAUUAAAACUACAGAAAUAAUAUCACCAACUAGUACGUACCGUUUUAGUUGAAAUCAGGGGAAAGGAAAACUGGUUCAAUCUCUAGUCUGUCUCUCCAAUGGCACAUCCAAACUCACUUGUAAAUGUGGUGGAAGUUUGCAGGGUCGCUCCAAACCCAGGUUCACCAGACUCAGCCACACCAGAUUUCCUUCCUCUAACCUUGUUUGAUAUACGUUGGUUAAGGUUUGCACCGGUGCAGCGCCUGUACUUCUAUGAAAUAUUUUCCACUGAUUCCAUAGUCCCCAAACUCAAAGCCUCCCUCUCUCUCACACUCCAACACUUUCUGCCCCUUGCUGGAAACCUCACUUGGCCCCAAGACUCCCUCAAACCCAUUCUCCGUUAUGCCAAAGGCGACACCAUUUCACUUACUGUAGCUGAAUCCGCUGCUGAUUUUGGCCAUCUUUCAAGCAAUUACGACUUGCUUGAAGUCCAAGAAUACCAUCCUCUUGUACCCCAAUUGGAAGUAUCUCAUGAUCAAUCUGCGGUAUUGGCAUUGCAAGUCACCGUCUUCCCCAACAGAGGCUUUACCAUUGGAACAUCGAUGCACCAUGCUGUUUUGGAUGGUAAAACUUCAACCUCCUUCCUUAAGUCAUGGGCUCACAUAUGCAAACAUGAAGAACCGGGAUCUUCAUCUAGUUUGUUGUUACCAGAUGAGCUAAAGCCAUUUUAUGACAGAAUGGUCAUCCAAGACUUGGCAGAGCUUGGGGCACUCUACUCGGACCAAUACCGAAACAUGGAGGGCCCCAACAAUAGAAGCUUGAUGGUUUGGAAUCUUCAAGCUCCACCAGAGUCAAUUCGAGGUACCUUCAAGCUCUGUUAUGCAAAAAUACAAAAACUAAGGCAAUAUGUCAUGACUAGGAUGGCAAUGAAGAAACAAUAUGAUGAUUCUGAAUCUUCAGUACUUCAUUUAUCAACGUUUUGUCUAGCAUGUGCCUAUACCUGGGUUUGCUUAGUCAAAACUCAAGAAGCCAAAGAAGAUAAGACAAGACUCAUAUUUCCGGUGGACUGCAGAUCUCGCCUAGACCCUCCUAUACCUGCAACAUAUUUUGGUAACUGCAUAGCAGGCCGUUUGGCAAUUGCAGAAACAAAAGGGCUAUUGGGAGAAGAUGGAUUGGUUGUGGCUGUGAAUGCAAUCAUUGAAGCUAUAAAAAGUUUGGAUUAUGGAGUCUUGAAUGGGGCAGAGAAUUGGGUUUCAAGAUUGUGCACUGUGCUGAGUGAUAGAGUAGCUUCAGUUGCUGGCUCACAUCGGUUUGGUGUUUAUGAAACUGACUUUGGGUGGGGAAUACCAAAGAAAGUUGAUCUUGUUUCUAUAGAUAGGACAGGAGCAAUCUCCCUUUCAGAUACCAAUAAUGGUGAUAGAGGUUUGGAUGUUGGAUUGGUUUUACAAAAACAUUAUAUAGAUGUUUUUGCAUCACAAUUUGCCAAAGGUCUUGAAAACCUUUGAAGCAAUAAUAAUGGUGUUAAUGUUGUUGCCCUUGUUUGGCAACUGCAGAAACAAAAUGGCUGUUACGAUCAGCAACUUUUCUUCAUUGAAAUUUUUUUCUGUAGUGCUGAGAAUCUGAUGGGUGAAGUCCGGUAUAUGAUCCCGGAGUCCAGCAUUUGCCUAGAGAUUAAGGUAGAGAUAGAUCCAGAGUCACACAUCACUGAGUUGUGUCAAACCGGACACUGGUGUUCACCUCACAUUCAAUUGUAUGUGAAUCCUCCUUUCAUCACUUGGUAUUAAAUUUGAGAUGAAAUUAUAUUGGUAGAUAAGUGCAUACCGUUCCUAGUUUAAUAUUCCCACACAUACCAUGCAUGUUGUGAUUGUUGUCAACCAUGUAUUUCUUUAAACAGUGUCUAUCAGUAACCUACAAUAAUUUCAGAAAUAGACUAUAAUUCACUUGUGUUGGAUAGAAAUAUUAUAUAUUUGCAUUAAAAAUACAGACGAAAUAUUAUAUAGGCAAUUAGAAUUUGUGAGUACUCGUGUUUGUAGUAUAUGUUGUGGUAUUGUUAAAUGGCUUUGAUCGGCCUUAUCAGUGAGGGUAUUUGGAUAAUGAUUCAUUCUUUGCCCUUGCCACAAAUCCAGUCUACCACUCCAAGCUCAAACACAUUGAAGUGGAUGUGCAUUUUACCUCAAGUGAGCUGGUGCUCUCGGUCCCUUUAAGGUAGAAUGGUGUUCUGUCACCCAAUAAACUGUUACAGAGGAGCUAAUAUCGCUUAAUCGUAAAUUAUUAAAAGAAAAAAGAAAAAAAAGUGAGCUGGUGCUCUCAGGUGCUCUCUGACUGCAAUUCAUUGCCUCCAGAGAACAACGCUGAUCUCUUUAGUCUUUACUAAAGGAUUGCGUUCUCCUCAGCAUAAUAUAUUACUUUUGUGACAGCUUGAAGGGGGUGGUUAGUUCAAUCGUUGACAAUUCACGCUGCUACAGUCUAAAAUAAUGUGAGCUCAAUCAUUCAAAUCAAGCCUCAUAUUUUCUUCAGCCAUUUUCUCUCUCUCUCCAUCUGUGCUAAACUUUCAAUAGAUAGUUAGAAACUUGCCAUUUUCUAUCUCUUUGCUCCUUCGUAAGUAAUGGCAAACUUAUCAGUGAAGAAAGUUGAGGUCUGCAGGGUGGCACCAAAACAAGGUUCACCGGAGAACCAAUCAUCACUUCCUCUAACAUUUUUCGACUUACUCUGGCUCCGGUUUCCACCCGUAGAACUCCUCUACAUCUACCAAACCUCUUCCACCGAUUCCGUACUUUCCCAACUCAAAACCUCCCUCUCUUUAGCUCUCCAACACUUCCCACCUCUCGCCGGAAACCUCAUCUGGCCGCAAGAUUCCCUCAAACCUCUCCUAAGCUACGUUCAAGGCGACGCGGUCUCAGUCACUGUAGCCGAGUCCGAUGCUGAUUUCGACCACCUCAUAAACAGUGUCCUUCUUGCAGCCAAAGAUU